rnacentral:rRNA from 1 species
UACGUAGGGCGCAAGCGUUAUCCGGAAUUAUUGGGCGUAAAGAGCUCGUAGGCGGUUUGUCGCGUCUGCCGUGAAAGUCCGGGGCCUCAACUCCGGAUCUGCGGUGGGUACGGGCAGACUAGAGUGAUGUAGGGGAGACUGGAAUUCCUGGUGUAGCGGUAGAAAUGCGCAGAUAUCAGGAGGAACACCGAUGGCGAAGGCAGGUCUCUGGGCAUUAACUGACGCUGAGGAAGCGAAAGGCAUGGGGAGCGAACAGG